AUGUCUGAGCUCGUCCGUCAUCCCGAAGCCAUGGCCAAAGCACAGAUUGAGAUCCGAGAGGUGCUAGGUCAAGGUCGAGCUGUGAUUACUAAUAGUGACCUCGCUGGACUCCAUUACAUGUGGAUGAUCAUUAAGGAGGUUCUUAGACUGCAUCCACCAGGUCCUUUGAUCCCCCUUGGGGCCAGGGAAGACCGUAAAGUUAUGGCUUUUGACAUGCUUGAAGGCACCAAUGUAUACAUUAAUGCGUUUGCAGUUUCGAGGGAUCCAAAUUGUUGGGAAAGUCCUGAAGAGUUUAAGCCUGAAAGGUUUGAGAACAAUAACAUGGAUUACAAUGGGACAUACUUUGAAUUCACCCCCUUCGGUGUUGGUCGGAGGCAGUGCCCUGGUAUACUAUUCGGCACGUCAACUAUGGAGAUCGCCUUGGCAAAUCUUCUCUACCACUUCGACUGGGUGCUUCCUGGCAAGGCAAACCCGGAAUUUUUGGACAUGACCGAGAAAUAUGGGAUCAUCGUACGAAGAAAAUAUGACCUACAAUUGAUACCUAUUUCCCGU
rnacentral:rRNA from 1 species